CCAGCCCCGAUCGCGGUCGAUCGAGCGCCGACCCCUCGUUCCGGGGCCUUACCCGCAAAGCGCUUCCUCAGAAGGCGCGUAAGCCUGGUUGGCGUGUGCCGAAAGGCGUCAGGGCGUGUGGAAAGCCCGCCGCGGGUGCGGGAUGAGGCCCAGGGUGUCUGUGGGUGAUGAACAGAAGUGAAAACUUGGGAAAACUGGAUGGACUGCGUGCCAGCAGCACGGUGGAGGCGAGAGCCCCUGCAAGCUCCAAGGCCUGUAGGGCGGAUACCCCGAGGAGAAGCAGUGCAUCCUUCGGAGGUGGUACCGGGACCGUGGCCGUGGUGGCCUCCCCAUGUUGGGUUUUCAUGGCUGGGGGCUUCCCUGCCUUUUUUUUCUCUCCAAAUGAUGCUGGGAUUACACGGGUUCCCAACUCCCUCGUUAACUCCAUGCUCAAGACCUCAGCGUUCAGCUGCAGCAUCACACGGAUACGCGUGAAGCGGUGAGCACGGCGUUUAGCUGCUGCCUCUCGCAGAGCCACGGCAGGGGGAGAAUCGUAGCCACGUGAAGAAGCAGUGGGGGGCAAUCCCAGCACUAAAUUCCCAUCUCUAAAAGAUCACUGUAGUGCACGUCCCGCUGAGCAGGACUAGGGUAUGCGCCUUGCUGUUGGUGCUGGGAGCUUGGCAUUCUGCUCCCAAUGCUUGGGGUGUAUUUCACGUCCCAGCGGUGAGCAGCCACCCUUUCCCAGGCAAGGCAGCUGAGGCUUUACCCGAUCUCGUUUCUUGAGUCAUUUCCUGUGGAUUCGUGAGAUCUCACGUUUGAUCUCUGCUUUCACUCACAUGCUAAUUUGGGUGCUGCUAAACGAUCCAUUCAUCUCACUGCGCAACCCUCCUGUGAUUGCAUCUAUGCCGUUCGUAUGGACAAGGAUUGCAUGGUACGUUCCAAUCGUUCAGGUUGCCACGCUCUGAGCAGCGCUUGCAGAAUGACUGCUUUAUUUUUUUCUGAAUGGAACAGCCUGCCGAGGGGAGAAUUCUGCUCGUGCACUGCUCAUAUACAGCCUUUCCCCGAGAUGUGAUCGUUGCAGCACCUCCAGUUAAUUAGCCAUCGGUGGCAGAGCUUCAAGACUAAUGAUUUGCAUGCUGUGAAUGUUCUGCUCUUUAUGUUUGAAUGGGAAGUUCCUUGUGCAGAGCAAUAUUUCAGCUGUUGCAGAGAACUAGAUGCGAGGACAUUUGGGCAGGAAAUAGACUUCCCCAUGGGCUGCUGUACCUUCAGCUGACACCGAUUUGGGGUGGGAAGCGCUAGGAUUUGGCACAGCAGAGCUUGGAAUGCAGGCUUGCCAUUGCCUUCCCACGUUCUUGCCUUGACAACGUGUCCCUCUGGGUUGGAGACUCCCACACUGCUGGUGUAGGAACCCCCGUAUGAGGGCUGGCACCUUGGUGACCGCACUGAUUUCAGUGCCUUUUCCACUGACUCACUCUGUGACUUGGAAUGAGGGAAGAGUAGAAGUUGGCAGCCCUGAAUCACACCAUCCUCCUGAUGAUUACCCCUCACCCGAUCGUUCUUCUGAGCAGCAAUCGUAUUUUAAAGGCAACAAUAACCAUAGAAUCAUGGAAUCAUUAAGGCUGGAAAAGACCUCUGAGAUCAUCUAGUCCAACCAUCAACCCAUCCCUGCCAUGCCCACUAAUCGUGUCCCUCGGUGCCACAUCUACACCCAUUUUUCCCCCCUGUUGCAACAGCUCAGAACGUAAGAGCUGCAGAAGUGAUCUGCAACAACUGUAGUCUUCCCAUGAGGUUAUUGUGAGGGACACCAAGAGCAGAAAGGGAUCCUCACUGCCAAAUGGGUCGCUUUGCCCCCCAAAAACAAACCCACUGCUUUCUGAGUUCUGAAACCAUGCACUCUCUUUCGGCCUCUCCCAAAAUAAAAGCAAGGGUCGUUGAAAUUAAGUGACUGUGACUUAAAGGGGCCUUUUCAAAACCCUUGCUUUCCUAUUGGGUUCUCUGCCGUCCUCUUAGCAUUCGGCGGUAAAUGAUUUAUAGCCCUCCUUUCAUGCUGGUUUGGUGUUUCCUUUGUGUGCAUAACUUCCUUUUGAUAGAAGGGGAUGAUAACAAAACCCAAAUUCUAAUCUCUCGAGCACAUGACACAUUGUCUUUGCGGUGCAGAUAGCAGGAAACUGCUCUGAUCUGGAGUUCAGUGCGUCAGCCUCCUUCCCACCCCUCAAAAUACACCCGGUGAAUUCAGAAAGCAGAGCUACCAGGGUGGGCAGAGCUUUGCUUUUGGCUAUUCACUGGCCCUUUGCAUCCAGCGUGCACAACCACUGCCACUGUUGCUCUGGGAGUCCUGGGGUUAGUCCUACAGUCAGGCUGUGGUGGCACCAGGGAAGGGCUGCCCUCCCUCGAGAUGCCUUUCCACCCUUGGGAGCUACAGCUACAGCUGUUUCCAGAGUCUCCUGGGAGCCGAGCAAACAGAUGCCAAAUGAUCUGCCUUCGGAGAGAGCAGAGAUGGGUGGAUCUGGGGAAGACACCAGAGCUGCGUUCAUCUCUUCUUCCCCUCCUGAGGGACUAUUGGCCAGGAGAUAAGUUCCUGGGGAGCCCCACUUGCUAUGGGGUGGCUCUGGUUGGGAUAAAGCCACAGCACGCAGUGAGGAGGCAGGGAGGGUAGGUCAGCAUCUCACAGAGAGCAAUACCUGGCCCUGCUAUCCUCCGAGACACCUGCAUCACCGCUCCCGAGAAUUCCCAUGAAAAAUAAUCACAGGCUGCUUUUAUGUCCUUGUAAUCGUGAACACAUUAUGCUUCCCUGCCCACUUCUAAAGAGAAAAAAGUAAUUAGUCACCCCACACAAGCCUUUUGGGGUGGCACAUGUGCUUUGGUAUGUAUUCCAGCUCUGCCUACAUGGAACGGGGAUGCACAGCCCUGCUCCCUGGUUGUCUGUUAGGUGCUGCCCUUUGCAGGAGCUGGCUGCAACCUCUUGCACUUACAGCCAGUGACAUCUCCAGCAGCACUUGCUGGUGUGAUGAAGGAGGCCUGCAAUUGCAAAUCCAGGGGAUGGGAGCUUCAGGCCAGCAAAGCAAAACAACUCAAGGCAUGGGCCAGCAAAGUGAAAUAACCCAAGGCAUUGGUGUGCCGAAGUGGCCACCAAAGGGCUGCUUUCAUUCUUCCUGCUGUUGUAUCCUUGUGCUAAAAGUGCAAAUUGAAGUUCACUGAAGGACUGUGGCAGAAGAAUUAUCCAGAAUUUGCUGAAAAACUGCAGAUGGAAGCUAUUGUGGAAAACAGGCUUUGUUUCCAUCCUGGGAAGAAUUUGGUUUACGUUUCAGGGAUUGUGAAGGUGACCUCCUAGGUCCAUGGCAGGUAAACAUUUGCCUUUGAUUCUGUUUUUCUCUUCAAGUCUAUAAACCCCAGCAUUUACACUUAAAUGGAUGUGCUGAAAGCUGUGUUUAGGAAGAGAGAACUUCAUCCCCUCCUGCACGUACUUCUGCCACGUGAGGAUUGUUUGGCUGCAGCUUUGCAAAGGAUGGCCGGAGGGGUGGUUUGUGCAGGAGGAGGCACGUGGCUCCAUGGCUGCCUGGUUCAGCCCCACUGCUGUCAUUGGUUUUGCCUUCGAUAGACCUAUCACAGAAUCUGGGCCCCUCCUUUAUUUUUCCCAUCUUGCUGCUUCUCUCCUUCCAGAUGUGUUCCUCCCGUACCCAGUACGUAUUGCCUAGUGUUUAAUGGCUGCUUUAUGUACCAAAAUCAUUGCUGCGCUAUUUACUGUAUUGCCACGUGAAGUGCUCUGGAUAGUGGUGACUUUGGAAAGCUGCUUCUAAAUCAGCUUCUGCUUUGAGGAGAUUUGGCCCUUCUCUUGGGUCUUCUGGUUCCAAGGAAGUAAUGAACAUGAAAUCUCUCUUACAAGACUUGAGCAAACUGAUCAAAGUCCUGGGAGAUGGCAACCCAGAUUUUGGCCCUUAAAUUUCAUCAUACAGCAUUUUCUCGCUGUGGUCAUAAACGGCACACGGCUUCACGUGAGGUGUCAUAUACUGACUGUCACUCGUAUAUCCCACAAUGUUUGGUAAAGGCAAGAGGAGCAGGAGAAAUGAGGGCACGAGGAAAUGCCCAGGUGUCAGCAGCACCAGUCAGCCUCCGGAGCACCAGGAGUCAUGUAGGACAGGAAAACCUCUGCUGGAGCUUGAGUCCCAGUGCUCUUUACACAUGUCUAAUCACUGGGCUGCAAGUGGUAUUUAAUCACCUAAAACCCUCUCUGCAAUUUAUUACUGGAAAGAACAGAAAUCUGCACCAACGUACUUUCGAGAAAUACCAGAAUGACUCCAAACUUAGGAGCAUUUUGGAAUCAUACUGGACGUUUCAAGCUAAAUACUACACUGCUUUUCUUCCCAUGGUUUAUAUCAGCAUGGAUUAAAACAGCACUGUGCUGUGGAGCCGCCCCAUCAGACUGUACAAUGGCUCUCAUCUUUUGCUUGGCGCUGCCUGAGUGAAUGUGCUCCAGUCUGCAUUGCCACCCUAGGAAAAAUUCUUUACAUCUCCAUUUCCAAGUUUUAAAAUAUCUCCAUAAAGAUGAAACACAUCUUUAUUUUUUCUCAAUGCAAAGAUGUGCUUUCACCUACAGAUAUUUUUUUGCUGCCUAAACAAGAGCCCUUCCCUUUGCACUUGUGCCAACAUGGAACUUGGAUAAAGAAUUAGGCUUAGAUUCCUAAUUACAGCGCUUCCCCUCUACUUUUUUGUAUUUGUUAUUGUUUUAAUAACGACUCUCAGGCGCACGCCAUCUAUCCUCUUUCCAAAGAAGGUGUUUUUGAAGAAGGCACACCCUUCAGAAAGUGUUUUGUGGCAUCAUAUUUGUGCCUUUUGUGUCCAGAGCCAUCCGCCUUUUCAAUUCGAAACGCACUCCUCAGGGUCCUGCAUCACGGAGGCCUAAAUUAAAACACACUUACCAUAAAGGGGUGCAGCGUAUGUGUUCAUACUGAAAACUGCACUGUGACACGAAAGAUGCCCGAACACCACACGGUCAUUCUGUGUGGAAUUCCCUCUGGCUGGGAGGUGCGCGUGGCUGUGAAACCCCUGCCUGGCACUGGAGGCACCUUCCUCUUCUACUUCUAUGUGAAGCAGCCCUCAUCUACAACUUGCUGUUGGAAGGAAGGGUUUUACAAUCUCCAUUUCAAGUAUCAGACCUUGGGUGUCCCCCUCUUGGAACACCGUGGCUGGAGAGCACCCUGGGCUCGUUUCAGAGAUGUGAAACUCUGCGGUGUGCCAGCGUGGUGCAUGUUAGCCAGUCACCCAUGGGGCUACCAGGCUUGACACAAUUAUGCUGGCCAAGCUCACAAGGAGGAGGAAGUAUGGGAAUGUUCACUACCAAAGCAAUCUGUGAAUACUGCACAAAGACACUGCCUCCUUUGACAUUUCCAUCCACGGACCUGUAGUUACAGGCAGUUUUGAACUGGAAGGUCUCUUUCGAGUGGAAAAUGCCACUUCAAAAUAGCAAACCAACGGGUUGUUUUUAAGAGGCAUUGCAAUAAAAUGCUGUGGCAUUCUCAAGCCAUUUUUUUCCCCCCAAGACUGUAGAUAUGAAUGUCUUUUCCCCCUAUAUUUGGGGUACAGUUGAAAACAUUUGCGAUGUUUCAUUCAUUUUGGAAGCUCCUAAAUUGCAUGGUUUGAUUUUGCAAUUCUUAAUGGACAUCUUUUGCUUUUUUGUCCUCUUUCAACUCAUAUCCUGACUGCUCUGGAUGGGG
ensembl:lncRNA